AGAGUUUGAUCCUGGCUCAGGAUGAACGCUAGCGGCAGGCUUAAUACAUGCAAGUCGAGGGGCAGCAGGUCCCGCAGCAAUGCGGGAUGCUGGCGACCGGCAAACGGGUGCGGAACACGUACACAACCUUCCUUUAAGUGGGGAAUAGCCCGGGGAAACCCGGAUUAAUACCCCGUAAUAUAAUAGAGUGGCAUCGCUUUAUUAUUAUAGCUCCGGCGCUUGAAGAUGGGUGUGCGACUGAUUAGGCAGUUGGCGGGGUAACGGCCCACCAAACCUACGAUCAGUAACUGGUGUGAGAGCACGACCAGUCACACGGGCACUGAGACACGGGCCCGACUCCUACGGGAGGCAGCAGUAAGGAAUAUUGGUCAAUGGACGCAAGUCUGAACCAGCCAUGCCGCGUGGAGGAUGAAGGUCCUCUGGAUUGUAAACUUCUUUUAUCUGGGAAGAAAUCCACAAAUUCUUUUGUGGUUGACGGUACCAGAUGAAUAAGCACCGGCUAACUCCGUGCCAGCAGCCGCGGUAAUACGGAGGGUGCAAGCGUUAUCCGGAUUCACUGGGUUUAAAGGGUGCGUAGGUGGGUUGGUAAGUCAGUGGUGAAAUCUCCAGGCUUAACUUGGAAACUGCCAUUGAUACUAUCAAUCUUGAAUACCGUGGAGGUCAGCGGAAUAUGUCAUGUAGCGGUGAAAUGCUUAGAUAUGACAUAGAACACCAAUUGCGAAGGCAGCUGGCUACACGAAUAUUGACACUGAUGCACGAAAGCGUGGGGAUCAAACAGGAUUAGAUACCCUAGUAGUCC
rnacentral:rRNA from 1 species